rnacentral:rRNA from 1 species
UACGGGGGGGGCAAGCGUUGUUCGGAAUUACUGGGCGUAAAGGGCUCGUAGGCGGCCAACUAAGUCGGACGUGAAAUCCCUCGGCUUAACCGGGGAACUGCGUCCGAUACUGGAUGGCUUGAGUAUGGGAGAGGGAUGCGGAAUUCCAGGUGUAGCGGUGAAAUGCGUAGAUAUCAGGAAGAACACCCGUGGCGAAAGCGGCUCUCUGGAACGGUACUGACGCUGAGACGCGAAAGCGUGGGGGAGCGAACAGG